rnacentral:misc_RNA from 1 species
GAUGAAGAACGUAGCGAAAUGCGAUACUUGGUGUGAAUUGCAGAAUCCCGUGAACCAUCGAGUCUUUGAACGCAAGUUGCGCCUCAAGCCAUUAGGUUGAGGGCACGUCUGCCUGGGCGUCACAUAUCGUUGCCUGAUGCCAGUUUCCUCGUGAUGGGUGACUGUGCAGGGCGAAUGAUGGCUUCCCGUGAGCAUUGUUGCCUCAUGGUUGGUUGAAAAUUGAGUCCUUGGUAGGGAGCGCCGUGAUAGAUGGUGGUUGAGUGACGAACGAGACCCAAUCAUGUGAGACCCCUACCGAAUUUGGCCUUCAUGACCCACAUGCGUCUUUGGAACGCUCAUGACGAGACCUCAGGUCAGGCGGUGCUACCCGCUGAGUUUAAGCAUAUCAAUAAGCGGAGGA